rnacentral:rRNA from 1 species
AUUGAACGCUGGCGGCAGGCCUAACACAUGCAAGUCGAACGAGUGGCGGACGGGUGAGUAAUGUCUGGGAAACUGCCCGAUGGAGGGGGAUAACUACUGGAAACGGUAGCUAAUACCGCAUACCAUCGGAUGUGCCCAGAUGGGAUUAGCUGGUAGGUGAGGUAACGGCUCACCGAGGCGACGAUCCCUAGCUGGUCUGAGAGGAUGACCAGCGACACGGAAGUGGAGACACGGUCCAUGCUCCGACGGGAUGGGACAGUGGGGAAUAUUGGACUAUGGGCGCAAGCCUGAUGCAGAAAUGCCGCGUGUAUGAAGAAGGUAUUCGGGUUGUAAAGUCCUUUCGGAGGGGAAGCGUUAGCCGCAGAAGAAGCACCGGCUAACGCCGUGCCGGCAGCCGCGGUAAUGC